rnacentral:tRNA from 1 species
GCCAGCGUAGCUCAGUUGGUAGAGCUACUGAUUUGUAAUCAGUGGGCCGGGGGUUCGAGUCCCUCCGCUGGCUCCA